GAUUCCAUAUGGACUGCUCAUAUCAUAAAAGAAUUUUGGGUCUGUUUCCGGCGAGAAAAACCCGGAAGGCACCGGAGAUAACAUCGCCGGUGCCGGUGAUAGGAUCCCUGGAAUCUGACCUAUCUCNCUAACAUACCCAUCAGAUCAUUUCUUUCUUCAAUGCUUGUACUGCUUCUCUCUCUCGGACUUGCCUUCUCUGUUGCAGCUAAUCUUGCUUCUGGUGAUACUUCUCCGUCGCCUGAGAAGUCCCCAGAUGAGAGUCCCGUUAGGCGCUGGACCACGGCCAUGAACGGAUGAUUUUCGGGGACACUGCGUAGAUGAUCACUGGUUGCUGCUGCGCUGGAGGACGUGGUGGUUUCUUGAUUUUGUGAGAGACUUGAUGGAGUUUAAGUGCUGGAGGGCGAAGGCCUUGGAUUUGGUUCGGUUUUUUUGGUGGUGAUGGUGAACUUGACGGUUGUAGAGGUGGUGGCUGCUGUGGCUUUGACCUUCCUGGCGGUGGAGGUAGAUUCCCGCCGGUGGCGAAGCCGGAGGGGUCCA
rnacentral:misc_RNA from 1 species